rnacentral:rRNA from 1 species
CCUACGGGAGGCAGCAGUGAGGAAUAUUGGUCAAUGGACGAGAGUCUGAACCAGCCAAGUAGCGUGAAGGAUGACUGCCCUAUGGGUUGUAAACUUCUUUUAUAUGGGAAUAAAACGUUCCACGUGUGGGAUUUUGUAUGUACCAUAUGAAUAAGGAUCGGCUAACUCCGUGCCAGCAGCCGCGGUAAUACGGAGGAUCCGAGCGUUAUCCGGAUUUAUUGGGUUUAAAGGGAGCGUAGGUGGAUUGUUAAGUCAGUUGUGAAAGUUUGCGGCUCAACCGUAAUAUUGCAUUUGAAACUGGCAGUCUUGAGUACAGUAGAGGUGGGCGGAAUUCGUGGUGUAGCGGUGAAAUGCUUAGAUAUCACGAAGAACUCCGAUUGCGAAGGCAGUUCACUGGACUGCAACUGACACUGAGGCUCGAAAGUGUGGGUAUCAAACAGGAUUAGAUACCCCAGUAGUC